rnacentral:lncRNA from 10 species
AGAAAGAGAAAGAGAAAGAGAGAAAGAAAAGUGAAAGAAAGAAGAAAGCAAGAAAGAAGAAGGAAGGAAGGAAGGAAAGAAAAGAAAAGAAAAAGAAAGAAAGAAAGAAAGAAAGAAAGAAAGAAAGAAAGAAAAAGAAAGAGAAAGAAAGAAAGAAAGAAAGAAAGAAAGAAAGAAAGAAAGAAAGAAAGAAAGAAAGAAAGGAAAGAAAAAGAAGGAAAGCAAGCAAGGAAGCAAGUAGCCAAAGCCCUGGGAACCCAUCGAGGAAUGGCCCCGGAGGCAGAGUUACCCUCAGCUCUGAUGGAAAGCCUUGCUCCAAUCUGAAUUCUGGUCUUCCAAGAAAAAUCACAAGCAAUGACAGGCUCUUUAAUAUGGGUUCCAGCCACAGGCCAGAGAUCAAACGUCGCUGAACCAGUGUGAGGAAAAGAAUGGCAGGCAGACGUCUUCUUUUUCCGCACACAGACUGUAAUCAGCUCUCCACAAGGUCAUCCCAGAACACCAAGGACAGUCCAGAUACCUCCAGGCUCUCCUCAGUAAUGGACGGAAGCAGUGGUGCAGAUAAUCUGCCCAAAUGGCGGGCUCCAGUUCUCCCUGGAUUCCAGGAACACCAUCUCCUUCCUCGUCCCUUCCAUCCCAGGGAAGGUUUACACUGAAAAUUUUUUGUGAUGAAAAGAUUUGAAGAAGAUGACAGGAGAUGGAGAAGCACCAGCUGAUCUGCAGACUCCAAGGAGGUCCCAGGAAGAGGUGUCAUCCACUAAGAUCUUCUGGGACAGGAAAGCCCUGUGAUACCUCUUACAUCACACCAAACAGAGCCCCAC